rnacentral:lncRNA from 1 species
AACUUCCAUUCUUGAUUCCAGCGUGUCACACACACAAUUGAAUUCUUAACAGCUGCCAUUCAAAAGAACUGCGGAGGACCAUUUGAAAGUAAUAUUUUGCUCUGUGUGACAUCUCAUUUUUUUCCCCUCAGAAAUCAUAAUUUUUUUACACACCUCGUAGUCUUCCUAACAGGAAACCAGCUCAGCCUGUCAUUUUGAUUGGGGAGGAACCUUGUUUUCCAGGUCACUGGCUUGAAUCCUGGAGACAAGAUAUUCAUGAGGGACCUGUAUGGGGAAUUUACAUCUCGGAGCAGAGUUUUCCUCUCCAUUUGCCAGCAUGCCAGGGUACUAAUUGGUACUUUUCUGCCUUGUAAUGGUGAAGUGGAAUGAAGUUUCUUCAAAAAAGUGUUUUUCCUCUUGGUGCAUCAUGGGAUCAGGUUCCAGAAAGCAUCUGAAUUGUUUAACAAGCAGGAGUUGACACAGAUGAGCACACUGCUCACAGAGGGAUCUGGAAGAGGAACAAGCAACCCACUGUUCUCUGAAAAACUGCUGUUUCAAGAGAAAAUUCAGCAUAAAAAAGUAUCAAUAAAGCAACAGAAAGGAAAUAAAGGCAGGCUGUGGAAGGAAACUGAAGCAAGGGACUAUGCAAGUCACUGGUCGAAGAGUUGGUUCACAUGCAGACUGUUAAGAAACUAAAGACA